GCCCAGACUGGCCGUGGGAGGGGGGGGUCCUCGCGAGCGGCGCGCUCCCUAAAGUGGGACGCGAGCGCGAGGCCCGCGGCUUUUGUUGAGGAGAAAGUCGGAAUCGGGUGUCUCUUCAAGCUGAGGGGCCACUCACCACCACCCCAUCUUGGUGGUUCCUCCAGGAGUCAACAGCUCCCUCAUCCUUCUUGGUAAGAACAGAAGUAUCUUAUUAACUCCAUAAUCAUCUUAAGUUUCUAAUGUUACAAAUUUUUAGUUAAAAACACCUAAAUUGUGAUGAUGUUGCUAUAAUGAGAGGUGCUGAGCACCCACUCUGAGCAUGCACAGUGCUCUGCACUUGUUCCUUCAGACCUCAGGAGCCCAGUGAGCUGGGUGGUUUGUUCCUGUUCCACAGCUGAGGACCUGCAUGUACAGAGACUGAUUUCCCCACGCCAUCUCCUUUUUGAAAAGGGGAAAGGGCCUUAUUUCUGCAACCUCCAUGCACAUUGAAGUGAUGGGGGUGCUCUCUGUUUCCCUCUUCCCUGCAGCUAAGGCGGCAGAACCAAGGAGGUUGGGCUUUUGCUGUUGUUAAUCCUCACCCAAGGGUAUUUUUUCCUUUUUUUUUUUCUUUUUUUUUUUAGAGAGUGUAAGGUAGAGGGAGAGACACAUCAAUAGGCUGCCUCCCAUGUGCAUCCUGACCUGGACUGGGGAUUGAGCUUGCAACCAAGAGUCAAAUCCAGGACUGUUCAGUCCAUGGGCCAACACUCUAACCACUUAGCUGAACUGGAAACUGGAUAGGGCUAAAGAGGUUGGUUUUGAUCCCCACUAAUGCCACUUUGACCUGAGGAGUCAUCUGUGACUUGCCUGCUUGGCUGCGGUGGAGGUUCCUGUGUGGGUGCUGUGGCCUGGACUUACAGCAGAGUCGCCAGGGAGCAGCCCCCAAAACUGCCAAUCUACCCCUGAAUCAUGUGACUGCCACUGUGCAGAGAUGGGACACGUAGGGGUGUGUAAGGAGGUAGAUGUAGGACGGGUGAGCAACCUUUUUGUGAGUGCAUGCCAAAACCAGCAAAAUCUCUGACUCAAAAUUCUUCUGCGUGCCAACCCUAAUUUUUU